rnacentral:rRNA from 1 species
UACGAAGGGUGCAAGCGUUACUCGGAAUUACUGGGCGUAAAGCGUGCGUAGGUGGUCUGUUAAGUCUGAUGUGAAAGCCCUGGGCUCAACCUGGGAAUUGCAUUGGAUACUGGCAGGCUUGGGUGCGGAAGAGGGAAGCGGAAUUUCCGGUGUAGCGGUGAAAUGCGUAGAUAUCGGAAGGAACAUCAGUGGCGAAAGCGGCUUCCUGGUCCAGCACCGACGUUCAGGCACGAAAGCGUGGGGAGCAAACAGG